CGGGGCGUAGCUCAGCCUGGCUAGAGCGCCUGGUUUGGGACCAGGAGGUCGCAGGUUCGAAUCCUGUCGCCCCGA
rnacentral:tRNA from 1 species